GCCAAAGUUAUGACCAUUUGAAGUUACAUAAAUAUACAACUACUUUUUUUGUGUUUCAAUCUUUAAUAUGCUGAAACUUCAAAUGAUCGUAACUUUGGCCU